AUACGGAGGGGGCAAGCGUUAUUCGGAUUUACUGGGCGUAAAGGGCGUGUAGGCGGCUUGAUAGGUCAAAGGUGAAAGCCCUCGGCUCAACCGAGGAACUGCCUUUGAAACCAUCUGGCUCGAGGCCGGGAGGGGGUAGUGGAAUUCCUGGUGUAGCGGUGAAAUGCGUAGAUAUCAGGAGGAACACCAGUGGCGAAGGCGGCUACCUGGACCGGUUCUGACGCUGAGGCGCGAAAGCGUGGGGAGCAAACAGGAUUAGAAACCCCAGUAGUCC
rnacentral:rRNA from 1 species